GGGGAUAUAGCUCAGCGGUAGAGCAUUCAACUGCAGAUCGAGAAGUCCCCGGUUCAAGCCCGGGUGUCCCCU